UACGUAGGGUGCAAGCGUUGUCCGGAAUUAUUGGGCGUAAAGAGCUCGUAGGCGGUUCGUCGCGUCGGCUGUGAAAUCCCGAGGCUCAACCUCGGGUCUGCAGUCGAUACGGGCGGACUGGAGUUCGGCAGGGGAGACUGGAAUUCCUGGUGUAGCGGUGGAAUGCGCAGAUAUCAGGAGGAACACCGGUGGCGAAGGCGGGUCUCUGGGCAGUAACUGACGCUGAGGAGCGAAAAGCGUGGGGGAGCGAAACAGG
rnacentral:rRNA from 1 species